rnacentral:rRNA from 1 species
AUUUUCCGGUUGAUCCUGCCGGACCCUAUUGCUAUCGGGAUGAGACUAAGCCAUGCGAGUUGCGCGCUCCCUAGCCAUGUUGGGAGAGCAGCGAACGGCUCAGUAACACGUAGUUAAUCUGCCCUUGGGACGGAGAUAACCCUGGGAAACUGGGGCUAUUAUCCGAUAGAUGAAGAUGUCUGGAAUGACUUUUCAUCUAAAAGUUCUUUGGAACAUGCUUCGAGGAAUGUCCAAGGAUGAGACUGCGUCUGAUCAGGCAGUUGGUGGGGUAACGGCCCACCAAACCUAUAAUCAGUACGGGCCCUGAAAGGGGGAGCCCGGAGAUGGGAACUGAGACAAGGUCCCAGGCCCUACGGGGCGCAGCAGGCGCGAAAACUCCACAAUGCGCGAAAGCGUGAUGGGGUUAUCCCGAGUGCUGUCCGUAAGGAUAGCUUUUCCCCAGCGUAAGGACCUGGGGGAAUAAAGGGGGGGCAAGUCUGGUGUCAGCCGCCGCGGUAAUACCAGCCCCCUGAGUGAUAGGGACAUCUAUUUAGCCUAAAGCGUCCGUAGCCGGCUUAGCUAGUCUUUCGUUAAAUCUGGCAACUUAAUUGUCAGGCCGCGGAAGAUACUGCUAGGCUUGAGGGCGGGAGAGGUCGACGGUAGUCCCGGGGUAGGGGUGAAAUCCUAUAAUCCCGGGAGGACCACCAGUGGCGAAGGCGGUCGACUAGAACGCGCCUGACGGUGAGGGACGAAAGCUGGGGGAGCAAACCGGAUUAGACACCCGGGUAGUCCCAGCUGUAAACGAUGCGGGCUAGGUGUUGGAGCAGCUACGAGCCGUUCCAGUGCCGCAGAGAAGUUGUUAAGCCCGCCGCUUGGGAAGUACGGCCGCAAGGCUGAAACUUAAAGGAAUUGGCGGGGGAGCACCACAAGGGGUGAAGCCUGCGGUUCAAUUGGAUUCAACGCCGGAAAU